CAGCCGCCACGGGAAUACGAAGGGGGCUAGCGUUGCUCGGAAUGACUGGGCGUAAAGGGCGCGUAGGCGGCGAUCAAAGUCAGGCGUGAAAUUCCUGGGCUCAACCUGGGGGCUGCGUUUGAUACUUGAUUGCUAGAGUGGGGAAGAGGGUCGUGGAAUUCCCAGUGUAGAGGUGAAAUUCGUAGAUAUUGGGAAGAACACCGGUGGCGAAGGCGGCGACCUGGUCCUUGACUGACGCUGAGGCGCGAAAGCGUGGGGAGCAAACAGGAUUAGAUACCCCCGUAGUCCCUGUCUCUUAUAC
rnacentral:rRNA from 1 species